CCCAAACAGCCCCCGAAAACGCUACGUGAGCUGGGCCCUGGGCCAGAGGCAGAAAACGGACGGAAGAAAAGGUCUGGCCGGGCUCCUCUGCUAAUGCUUCUGGGAGACACCUUCAUACGGCCAGCGCCAGGAGGCGAGAGGAGAGGAAAGGAAGUCUUCUCUUCACGCCCUCCUGGGGCCCGUCUUGGCGUUGUGUGUGGUGGAGGGGGACGAAUCUGGGGUCCGCAGUCGCAGCCUCCUCUUGCUGCUGCCGCCUUCAUCCCCGAAAUCCUGCUCCUAACCAUCAAUAGGAACCCUGAAAAAAGUCAGAGGUGUGAAGUGCACACAUAACCCUGGGCCACAAACUCGGUCCCGGACGCCACAGGACAAUCGCUCACCAGGACCACACAUCCUGGCCGGAAGAUGGGCGGGUACCGCGGCUCCCGAUGCUUCCGGCUCCUCUAGGAAGA
rnacentral:lncRNA from 1 species